GUGAGGAGGUCGGCCAACCCCGAAGCUAUCUAGCGUGUCUCAGCCCGGGAAAGGGUUUGAUCUCCACUUCCAGACCAGUAAAUACGAGUGGUAGCACUGGAUUACAGCCUCUGAGGAGCGGUGCAGAUUAUAUCUGCAUCUCUGACAAGUCAGUCCACAUGUUCUGUACUUCAUAUGGAAACAUCGACAUCUAACUAUGGUUGGGCUACAGAUAACAGGGUUCUUCGAAGGUACGUCUGGAAAGAGACGCGGUUCACUAUGUCCGAGUCGAAACACAAGUCGGGAAAGUGAUCCAAGGCGGUCCACGCGGAGAGAGAUAGAGUCUGUGUCGAACGGUAGGUAGCGGGGAUAAGCAUACGUGAACACACAUCAACACGAACACACAGGAACACACGUGAACGGGCAUGAACGUGCAAUAAGGGGAGUGUGGGUGAAUGUGGGGUUUAUAUAGGCGCUGGGGAUGAGCGAGUGAAAUGAGUCUCAGGUGUUUUCCAUGAAGCCCGAUUGCGAGCAGCUCCGUCGAGCGGGGCACGCACUAGAGAAGGAGCGAGGUGCUUAGGGGAAUGCCGAAGUUUGACAGCCGCCAAAGGGGGCGUGGCAGGGGGAUUCCUGAGCGGAGCCUUCUGCGAAGACCGGGAGCGGGGGGACCUCCCCCACAGAGCCCCUCAGCGGAGACUGGAGGCGGGGAGACAUCCACCACAGAGACCUGAAACGGAGUGGCACCCUCAGCGGAGACUGGCAGCUGAGCGACUUCCUCUGCGGUGGUCUGGAGCUGAGAGGCGGUCACCACGGAGACCCGGAAAGGCAUGACGUCCCUGGCGAUGACCUGAGGCCGGGCGUUCGCUUUGGCGGAGAGCGGAGGUUGCACGAUGCCCACCGUGGAGGACUGGAGCCAAGAGAGGUCCUCUAGGAGACCUGGAGAGAAGAGAUCUCCACCACGGAAACCCAGACUGGCACAACGACCUUGGUGGUGACCGGAGGCUGAGGGACGACCACCCCGGCGACCUGGAACGGAUCGUCGUUAUAGGGAAGGUCUAGAAUGGAGCCUCUUCCCCCACGGGGACCUGGAACAGAGCGACAACCUUGGCGACCCCCGGAGCCGGGAUGGAACUCUCAACGGGGCGUACAGGCUGGAAGGCCCCUUGGAUGAAGACCAGAGACAGAGUGACGCCCAUGAUGGGUAACUGAGGCCGAGCCACGCCUUCGACGGAGUCCUGAGGCCAGACGACGUCCUUGAUGGAGCUCAGAGUCCAAGCAAUGACCUCGGCGGGGUUCCUUGGUGUGACGUCACCCUCCGGGGAGCUCAGGGGUGAGAUGCCACUUUCCCGGGAACUUGGAGGCGAGACGUCGCCUUGGGAGGAGCUCGGGAGCGAGACGUCGCCUUGGGAGGAGCCUUGUGAUGUGGCGUCUUCUUCAGGGGGACUCUGUGACGUGGCUUAGCCUUCCGAGAGACUGUGGGGCAAGCCGUCGGCUUCGGAGGAGCCCGGGGGCAGCGGUCCGACGACCCUUUCGCAGUCCUGGAGUGGAGCUGAGCUCUCUGUGGAUACCUGGAGCGGAGCUGAGCUCUCUUGGCGGACCUGGAGCGGAGCUGAG